GACGAACGCUGGCGGCGCGCUUAACACAUGCAAGUCGAACGGAAAGGCCUGCUUUCCCUUGUGGAUUGCGGGUACUCGAGUGGCGAACGGGUGAGUAACACGUGAGUGAUCUGCCCCCAACUUGGGUAUAAGCCUGGGAAACUGGGUCUAAUUCCCGAUAGGACUGCAGGGUGGUGCCUGUGGUGGAAAACGAUUUUCUAGUGGUUGGGGAUGAGCUCGCGGCCUAUCAGCUUGUUGGUGGGGUAAUGGCCUACCAAGGCGGCGACGGGUAGCCGGCCUGAGAGGGUGGACGGACACAUUGGGACUGGGAUACGGCCCAGACUCCUACGGGAGGCAGCAGUGGGGAAUAUUGCACAAUGGGCGGAAGCCUGAUGCAGCGACGCCGCGUGGGGGAUGACGGCCUUCGGGUUGUAAACUCCUUUCGACCGCGAGGAAGCCACCUGGUUGGAAGGGUGGUGACGGUAGUGGUAGAAGAAGCACCGGCUAACUACGUG
rnacentral:rRNA from 1 species